rnacentral:rRNA from 1 species
GACGAACGCUGGCGGCGUGCCUAAUACAUGCAAGUCGAGCGCAGGAAACUGACGGAACUCUUCGGAGGGAAGGCAGUGGAAUGAGCGGCGGACGGGUGAGUAACACGUAAGGAACCUGCCUCAAGGAUUGGGAUAACUCCGAGAAAUCGGAGCUAAUACCGGAUAGUUCAACGGACCGCAUGGUCCGCUGAUGAAAGGCGCUCCGGCGUCACCUUGAGAUGGCCUUGCGGUGCAUUAGCUAGGUGGUGGGGUAACGGCCCACCAAGGCGACGAUGCAUAGCCGACCUGAGAGGGUGAUCGGCCACACUGGGACUGAGACACGGCCCAGACUCCUACGGGGGGCAGCAGUAGGGAAUCUUCCACAAUGGACGAAAGUCUGAUGGAGCAACGCCGCGUGAGUGAUGAAGGUUUUCGGAUCGUAAAACUCUGUUGUAAGGGAAGAACACGUACGAGAGGUAAUGCUCGUACCUUGACGGUACCUUACGAGAAAGCCACGGCUAACUACGUGCCAGCCGCCGCCGUAAUAC